AAACCAAAUGAUGAAUAUGGGUUUACAUUUUCUCACGACGGUCGUCUGAGUUCACUAUGAUGUAUUAAUCCGAUUUUUCUGAUGGUU
rfam:Cicer arietinum chromosome Ca5, whole genome shotgun sequence.